AGAGUUUGAUCAUGGCUCAGAUUGAACGCUGGCGGCAGGCCUAACACAUGCAAGUCGAGCGGUAGCACAGAGAGCUUGCUCUCGGGUGACGAGCGGCGGACGGGUGAGUAAUGUCUGGGAAACUGCCUGAUGGAGGGGGAUAACUACUGGAAACGGUAGCUAAUACCGCAUAAUGUCGCAAGACCAAAGUGGGGGACCUUCGGGCCUCAUGCCAUCAGAUGUGCCCAGAUGGGAUUAGCUAGUAGGUGGGGUAACGGCUCACCUAGGCGACGAUCCCUAGCUGGUCUGAGAGGAUGACCAGCCACACUGGAACUGAGACACGGUCCAGACUCCUACGGGAGGCAGCAGUGGGGAAUAUUGCACAAUGGGCGCAAGCCUGAUGCAGCCAUGCCGCGUGUGUGAAGAAGGCCUUCGGGUUGUAAAGCACUUUCAGCGGGGAGGAAGGCGUUAAGGUUAAUAACCUUGGCGAUUGACGUUACCCGCAGAAGAAGCACCGGCUAACUCCGUGCCAGCAGCCGCGGUAAUACGGAGGGUGCAAGCGUUAAUCGGAAUUACUGGGCGUAAAGCGCACGCAGGCGGUCUGUCAAGUCGGAUGUGAAAUCCCCGGGCUCAACCUGGGAACUGCAUUCGAAACUGGCAGGCUAGAGUCUUGUAGAGGGGGGUAGAAUUCCAGGUGUAGCGGUGAAAUGCGUAGAGAUCUGGAGGAAUACCGGUGGCGAAGGCGGCCCCCUGGACAAAGACUGACGCUCAGGUGCGAAAGCGUGGGGAGCAAACAGGAUUAGAUACCCUGGUAGUCCACGCCGUAAACGAUGUCGAUUUGGAGGUUGUGCCCUUGAGGCGUGGCUUCCGGAGCUAACGCGUUAAAUCGACCGCCUGGGGAGUACGGCCGCAAGGUUAAAACUCAAAUGAAUUGACGGGGGCCCGCACAAGCGGUGGAGCAUGUGGUUUAAUUCGAUGCAACGCGAAGAACCUUACCUGGUCUUGACAUCCACAGAACUU
rnacentral:rRNA from 19 species